CUGCGACCCGCGCUACGACGAGUCUGACUUUGAGGACGCCGGCAUCAAGCAC
rnacentral:SRP_RNA from 1 species